rnacentral:rRNA from 1 species
AGGAUCAACGCUGGCGGCGUGCCUAACACAUGCAAGUCGAACGAGAAAGGGGUAGCAAUACCCUGAGUAAAGUGGCGCACGGGUGAGUAACACGUGACUAACCUACCCUUGAGUGGGGGAUAACUGAGGGAAACCUUAGCUAAUACCGCAUAAUACCCACGGGUCAAAGGAGCAAUUCGCUCGAGGAGGGGGUCGCGGCCGAUUAGUUAGUUGGCGGGGUAAUGGCCCACCAAGACGAUGAUCGGUAU